CCAUGCCCUGUGAAUGCGAAAAUGCCUUUGUUUUUUGACCUAGUCACGACCGUUUUGGGGGACGGUUCCCUUCUUAAUCGCGGAUAUAGUCUGUAGUUCGUAAUCCCAGUCUUGAUGGCCAGUGCUGGGCCUGUCCGCGAAGAUUGGUUGCGUCGCGUUCGUGUUGUGUCCUAAUACGGCGGGAGUACGGUGGCGUUGUAUCGCCUAAUGCGGCAGGUCGUAGUUGAAUAUUUCCUGGAGAUGCACCAAAUUUUGACGUGUAUAUGUCGCUGUCCGCCAGCUCCCAGGUCUUCCGUUUUGUUGACGGUGCCAAGCCUGGGAGAGGUUUGUUCUUUACAUUUAUUACAUUAAGAGCUUUCGCAUCUCCUGGCUUUGGGGGCAACUCCGUCGCACAUCAGGCGAAUGGCAAAAAGGGAGAUAGGGGAAGCACCGUUGUUACUUUGCAGGCGAUCAGGCGAUGGACGCGAAGUAUGGACAGACAUGCCACCGUCAGCUCGCUGCCCUGCCCGUCUGCGUAAUGGAAUGAUGGAUGCUGGGGCCAGAUGCCUGUCCUGUUGCUUAUGUUCAGUGGAAAUAAUAUCAUUGGUAUCUUUUGCUUCGUAGAGUGCGGAUGAUUGGUGCGUAGCUAGGGCAUGGAGAUCGCUGGAGGCCCGUCGAUGCUACAUCAAAGAAAUUGCAUAGUUGUAAUAUGAAUUCUUCUGGUUCUGAAUUUUGCCAUCCGCUCAAGGCCCGAUAAAAAGGAAUAAUUGGAAACACCCAAAGCACUUCAUUUAACAAUUCUAUAUGGAUGACGUUCAGGCAGGAGGAUAUGGCAUUCAAGGACUCCGAGAUCAGCUCCGAGACCAGCUCCGAGACUUGAAACGUUAAAAGUCAAUGGAGUUGAUUUCGCAAUGUCGAAGCUUGCUACACAUUA
rnacentral:lncRNA from 1 species